AUUUUAUGAAAGUGUUUUAAAAUAAUUCGCAUUGUAGAAGAGUAGAAGACAAGGAGAACGUAAUUGAUACACGUUCGUAACAUUUUAUGUAUUACUACUGCUAAGAAGGGCAUAUGGAGGUUUAAGAAGAAGGAAUAAAGCCACAUGUCAUCUAUGUUUUUGAUCUACAAACAAAUACUAUGUGGUCAAAUAACUGGAAAAAUGGUAUAUUCAUUGUUUUUUGGUUAUUACAUCACUGACUGUCUCGUAGUACUCGUGUUUCAUCCUCCGCUUGCACUUUUUCCUUGGGAUAAAUCUGCAUAAGGUUAUCAACAAUGUAACAUAAGUGUCAUGAAAUGUUAAAAUUCAACUCAAGGAUGGAUCUCUAUAAAAGAAAUAAACCUGGUUGCCUUUGUCUUCAUUAAGACUAAGCGUACGGACUUUAAGCUCCCCUCUUCUCGUCGUUAACUCGUCAAAAAUCUCAGCAUCAUUCUCUGGGACGCCUUUCGUUGUAUCAGUUGCCUAGAUCACCAAAGGUUGUUAGUUAACUCAUGCAUUAGUUCCACAAACUUAGAUAUUAAUAAACGUCAUACAUGACAAAGACAAGAGGUAUAUAUAUAUACCCGGAAAGACAAUUCAAGCGGGUCCCUAGGAGUGCCGGGGAUCUCCUCGUACUCGGCCGCAUCGAGUUCUCGGAGAUGAGACGGGUUAAAGAGCUUAGGGAGAAUGUACUGUCUGAUGGCUAUCAAUAGAAAGAAAGGAACCGGAAACAUUAUUCCCGCCACAGGAAUCCACGUGACUCCGUAACAAAUCCCAAAGUAGACUAUCUGCAAGAUUGUGAACGCAGCCAUCGACUUGUAAGGAACCUUCUCCACGAACGACGCGUGUGCUCCCUCCAAGACCCUGUAAAAUAAUCACAUGAUCAUCAGUCACAUGUCUUUGCUUGAAUAACAAGAAAGGGUGUUUUGAGAGUGCAUAUACUUGAAUCUCCGGCUUGGUAGGACGAAGAGAAGCAUCAUGCGCUCGAAGAAUUACUAUUAACCUUAUUAGUCAUCUUAUCAACACCAAAGAAGCAACCCACAACGGAAUCUCUAUGACCAAGAAACAAAUAAGGCUUAUUCAAGACCCCCUUCAACUUCCUAACGCAAAACAGCCUCGCCGCCAAAUCCUUAGUCCCGACAAGCAAAUACUCAGAGUCCAAGCUCCACUCCAAGGAGACAACUUUAUCAUCGGAGCUAGCGAAAGUCCUCACCCUCUGAAAGGCGAACGCCGCUCGGCUGAACCCAGGCGACUCCCAAAUCUCCACCAGCUUACCCACCCCCACGGCGAUGAACCUGCCGUCGGGGCUGAACUUCAAGGCGCCGACUUUCCCCUUGAAGGUCAUCCGGUGGAGCACCGCGCGGCGAGGGACGUUGAUGAAGAGGCACCGGCUGUUCUCGUCGACGGCCAUCAGGAAAGUGCCGUCGGGGGAGGCGGCGAGGCGGCAUAUGUUGGUGGAGGUGCUGAGCUCGAGGGUGACGGUGUGGUGCUUGGUGAGGUCGGUGACGGAGACGCGGUUGCCGACGGGGGAGAUGAGCUGGGUGUUUUGGGUGACGACGGCGUUUCCGCCUCUGUAGGGGGCGCCGAGAAGGUUUUGGAAUCGGUAAUUCAUGGCUUGAGGAUCGGUGACGAAGUCUGGAGAGAGGAAGGAUGGAAAUGCCGGCGGCGACGUUAGGGUUUAAGGUGCGAGUGUUUCGAUCUAUCUCUCGGACGCAGAACCCUUCUUCUCGAUUAUUUUCUAAUUUAUACUGGUUUAAUUACCGGUACAAAAGAAAAAGAAAAAGAAAAAGAAUUAAAAAAGGGAAGGACCAAGUUUCGGGGAUUUGAACCCGACGUGAAUCGAACACGCAACCUUCUGAUCUGGAGUCAGACGCGCUACCAUUGCGCCACGGAUCCUUGGUGCUAGAUAACUCAUCUACAUUGUUUAUAUCUAUUACAGAAUCAGUGUUCAUACGUUGAAGGAUGAAGAAGCUGGAACAUGCGUUGUUCGAAAGUGAAUUCGUACAUUUUAUGAAAGUGUUUUAAAAUAAUUCGCAUUGUAGAAGAGUAGAAGACAAGGAGAACGUAAUUGAUACACGUUCGUAACAUUUUAUGUAUUACUACUGCUAAGAAGGGCAUAUGGAGGUUUAAGAAGAAGGAAUAAAGCCACAUGUCAUCUAUGUUUUUGAUCUACAAACAAAUACUAUGUGGUCAAAUAACUGGAAAAAUGGUAUAUUCAUUGUUUUUUGGUUAUUACAUCACUGAC
rnacentral:lncRNA from 1 species